UCUUAAAACCUCAUUAUCAUGCCUGGACC
rnacentral:piRNA from 1 species